rnacentral:rRNA from 1 species
UACGGAGGGUGCGAGCGUUGUCCGGAAUCACUGGGCGUAAAGGGCGCGUAGGCGGCGCGGGAAGUCCGUGGUGAAAGCCCGAGGCUCAACUUCGGGUCGGCCAUGGAUACUCCUGGGCUUGAGCACUGUAGAGGCAGGUGGAAUUCCGGGUGUAGCGGUGGAAUGCGUAGAGAUCCGGAAGAACACCGGUGGCGAAGGCGGCCUGCUGGGCAGUAGCUGACGCUGAGGCGCGACAGGCGUGGGGAGCAAACAGG